rnacentral:rRNA from 1 species
UAGCGAGUUGUCCAACUCCCAACCCUUUGUGAACAUACCACUGUUGCCUCGGCGGGGGCCUGCCCGGUACCUACCGCGUAGCCCCCGCCGGCGGACACCGAACUCGUAUCGAAUGGAAAUCUGAGCGUCUUAGUAUAAUGAUAAAAACUUUCAACAACGGAUCUCUUGGUUCUGGCAUCGAUGAAGAACGCAGCGAAAUGCGAUAAGUAAUGUGAAUUGCAGAAUUCAGUGAAUCAUCGAAUCUUUGAACGCACAUUGCGCCCAUUAGUAUUCUAGUGGGCAUGCCUGUUCGAGCGUCAUUUCAACCCUUAAGCCUAGCUUAGCGUUGGGAGUCUACGGCGCGGCGGCCCCCCGCGGCCGCCCAGUAGUUCCCUAAAUCCAGCGGCGGGGCCGCAGCAUCCCCUGAGCGUAGUAACUUGUUCUCGCUUCUGUCGGUGCUGCGUCCACGGCCGUAAAACCCCCCCCAUUCUUUACUGGUUGACCUCGGAUCAGGUAGGACUACCCGCUGAACUUAAGCAUAUCAAUAAGCGGAGGAAAAGAAACCAACAGGGAUUGCCCUAGUAACGGCGAGUGAAGCGGCAACAGCUCAAAUUUGAAAUCUGGCCCAUGGCCCGAGUUGUAAUUUGUAG